UGUACCUACGGGAGGCAGCAGUGAGGAAUAUUGGUCAAUGGGCGGGAGCCUGAACCAGCCAAGCCGCGUGAGGGAAGAAGGUACAGCGUAUCGUAAACCUCUUUUGUCAGGGAACAAAGGCGGGGACUAGUCCCCGGGUGAGGGUACCUGAAGAAAAAGCAUCGGCUAACUCCGUGCCAGCAGCCGCGGUAAUACGGAGGAUGCGAGCGUUAUCCGGAUUUAUUGGGUUUAAAGGGUGCUCAUGCGGUCUGUUAAUUCAUCGGUCAAAUCC
rnacentral:rRNA from 1 species